rnacentral:rRNA from 1 species
CCAGACUCCUACGGGAGGCAGCAGUGGGGAAUCUUCCGCAAUGGGCGCAAGCCUGACGGAGCAACGCCGCGUGAGUGAAGAAGGUCUUCGGAUCGUAAAGCUCUGUUGAUGGGGACGAACGUGCCUAAUGCGAAUAGUUUUAGGCAAUGACGGUACCCAUCGAGGAAGCCACGGCUAACUACGUGCCAGCAGCCGCGGUAAUACGUAGGUGGCGAGCGUUGUCCGGAAUCAUUGGGCGUAAAGGGAGCGCAGGCGGGCGUGUAAGUCUUUCUUAAAAGUGCAGGGCUCAACCCCGUGAUGGGAAAGAAACUAUGUGUCUUGAGUACAGGAGAGGAAAGCGGAAUUCCCAGUGUAGCGGUGAAAUGCGUAGAUAUUGGGAGGAACACCAGUGGCGAAGGCGGCUUUCUGGACUGCAACUGACGCUGAGGCUCGAAAGCCAGGGGAGCGAACGGGAUUAGAUACCCCGGUAGUCCUGGCCGUAAACGAUGGAUACUAGGUGUGGGAGGUAUCGACCCCUACCGUGCCGGAGUUAACGCAAUAAGUAUCCCGCCUGGGGAGUACGGCCGCAAGGCUGAAACUCAAAGGAAUUGACGGGGGCCCGCACAAG